UCACAAUCAUCUGGAACUCAGUCCCAGGGGAUCUGAUGCCUCCUGUCGAUUCUACCGGCACCUCAAGUGCGUGGAACACGUACUGACAAGCAAGAACGCACACCUACUUACAAGCAAAAGUGUCGAUCAAGGUCAUCUUAGACUUUCACCGAGCCUGUCUCCGGAGGGUCUGGGCCGCAGAUAGUUAAUGUGUUACACAGGAUUCUCUAGAGGAACAGAACUGAUGAGACGUUUCCUCCAGCGCCUGCUUCCGCCUGAACAGCCCAGGCCUGUGAGCCGGCGUUGACCUUUCCUCCCCUUCAGCGGUUCGUCUCAGCGCUUUGUGACGGUGUCGCGGAGUUAUCCAAGGACGCUUCUAAGUGUGGGUUGAUGCGUGUAGGCGUACGCCGACACCAUUUGUUUUUACAUAUUUAAGUCAAAUUCACUAACUGAUACUGAAAAAACGGCAAACAGCAACCAAGCAAAACACUAA